GGGUUGUGAGGUUAAGCGACUAAGCGUACACGGUGGAUGCCCUGGCAGUCAGAGGCGAUGAAGGACGUGCUAAUCUGCGAUAAGCGCCGGUAAGGUGAUAUGAACCGUUAUAACCGGCGAUUUCCGAAUGGGGAAACCCAGUGUGAUUCGUCACACUAUCAUUAACUGAAUCCAUAGGUUAAUGAGGCGAACCGGGGGAACUGAAACAUCUAAGUACCCCGAGGAAAAGAAAUCAACCGAGAUUCCCCCAGUAGCGGCGAGCGAACGGGGAGGAGCCCAGAGCCUGAAUCAGCAUGUGUGUUAGUGGAAGCGUCUGGAAAGGCGCGCGAUACAGGGUGACAGCCCCGUACACAAAAGCGCAUGUGCUGUGAGCUCGAUGAGUAGGGCGGGACACGUGGUAUCCUGUCUGAAUAUGGGGGGACCAUCCUCCAAGGCUAAAUACUCCUGACUGACCGAUAGUGAACCAGUACCGUGAGGGAAAGGCGAAAAGAACCCCGGCGAGGGGAGUGAAAAAGAACCUGAAACCGUGUACGUACAAGCAGUGGGAGCACAGGUUUACCUGUGUGACUGCGUACCUUUUGUAUAAUGGGUCAGCGACUUAUAUUCUGUAGCAAGGUUAACCGUAUAGGGGAGCCGGAGGGAAACCGAGUCUUAAUUGGGCGUUAAGUUGCAGGGUAUAGACCCGAAACCCGGUGAUCUAGCCAUGGGCAGGUUGAAGGUUGGGUAACACUAACUGGAGGACCGAACCGACUAAUGUUGAAAAAUUAGCGGAUGACCUGUGGCUGGGGGUGAAAGGCCAAUCAAACCGGGAGAUAGCUGGUUCUCCCCGAAAGCUAUUUAGGUAGCGCCUCGUGAAUUCAUCUCCGGGGGUAGAGCACUGUUUCGGCUAGGGGGCCAUCCCGGCUUACCAACCCGAUGCAAACUGCGAAUACCGGAGAAUGUUAUCACGGGAGACACACGGCGGGUGCUAACGUCCGUCGUGAAGAGGGAAACAACCCAGACCGCCAGCUAAGGUCCCAAAGUCAUGGUUAAGUGGGAAACGAUGUGGGAAGGCCCAGACAGCCAGGAUGUUGGCUUAGAAGCAGCCAUCAUUUAAAGAAAGCGUAAUAGCUCACUGGUCGAGUCGGCCUGCGCGGAAGAUGUAACGGGGCUAAACCAUGCACCGAAGCUGCGGCAGCGACGCUGAUGCGUUGUUGGGUAGGGGAGCGUUCUGUAAGCCUGCGAAGGUGACCUGUGAGGGUUGCUGGAGGUAUCAGAAGUGCGAAUGCUGACAUAAGUAACGAUAAAGCGGGUGAAAAGCCCGCUCGCCGGAAGACCAAGGGUUCCUGUCCAACGUUAAUCGGGGCAGGGUGAGUCGACCCCUAAGGCGAGGCCGAAAGGCGUAGUCGAUGGGAAACGGGUUAAUAUUCCCGUACUUGGUGUUACUGCGAAGGGGGGACGGAGAAGGCUAUGUUGGCCGGGCGACGGUUGUCCCGGUUUAAGCGUGUAGGUGUGUGUUCCAGGUAAAUCCGGUUCACUUUAACACUGAGGCGUGACGACGAGGCACUACGGUGCUGAAGCAACAAAUGCCCUGCUUCCAGGAAAAGCCUCUAAGCAUCAGGUAACACGAAAUCGUACCCCAAACCGACACAGGUGGUCAGGUAGAGAAUACCAAGGCGCUUGAGAGAACUCGGGUGAAGGAACUAGGCAAAAUGGUGCCGUAACUUCGGGAGAAGGCACGCUGACACGUAGGUGAAGUGAUUUACUCAUGGAGCUGAAGUCAGUCGAAGAUACCAGCUGGCUGCAACUGUUUAUUAAAAACACAGCACUGUGCAAACACGAAAGUGGACGUAUACGGUGUGACGCCUGCCCGGUGCCGGAAGGUUAAUUGAUGGGGUCAGCGCAAGCGAAGCUCCUGAUCGAAGCCCCGGUAAACGGCGGCCGUAACUAUAACGGUCCUAAGGUAGCGAAAUUCCUUGUCGGGUAAGUUCCGACCUGCACGAAUGGCGUAAUGAUGGCCAGGCUGUCUCCACCCGAGACUCAGUGAAAUUGAACUCGCUGUGAAGAUGCAGUGUACCCGCGGCAAGACGGAAAGACCCCGUGAACCUUUACUAUAGCUUGACACUGAACAUUGAGCCUUGAUGUGUAGGAUAGGUGGGAGGCUUUGAAGUGUGGACGCCAGUCUGCAUGGAGCCGACCUUGAAAUACCACCCUUUAAUGUUUGAUGUUCUAACGUGGACCCGUAAUCCGGGUUGCGGACAGUGUCUGGUGGGUAGUUUGACUGGGGCGGUCUCCUCCUAAAGAGUAACGGAGGAGCACGAAGGUUGGCUAAUCCUGGUCGGACAUCAGGAGGUUAGUGCAAUGGCAUAAGCCAGCUUGACUGCGAGCGUGACGGCGCGAGCAGGUGCGAAAGCAGGUCAUAGUGAUCCGGUGGUUCUGAAUGGAAGGGCCAUCGCUCAACGGAUAAAAGGUACUCCGGGGAUAACAGGCUGAUACCGCCCAAGAGUUCAUAUCGACGGCGGUGUUUGGCACCUCGAUGUCGGCUCAUCACAUCCUGGGGCUGAAGUAGGUCCCAAGGGUAUGGCUGUUCGCCAUUUAAAGUGGUACGCGAGCUGGGUUUAGAACGUCGUGAGACAGUUCGGUCCCUAUCUGCCGUGGGCGCUGGAGAACUGAGGGGGGCUGCUCCUAGUACGAGAGGACCGGAGUGGACGCAUCACUGGUGUUCGGGUUGUCAUGCCAAUGGCACUGCCCGGUAGCUAAAUGCGGAAGAGAUAAGUGCUGAAAGCAUCUAAGCACGAAACUUGCCCCGAGAUGAGUUCUCCCUGAGACUUAGAGUCUCCUGAAGGAACGUUGAAGACGACGACGUUGAUAGGCCGGGUGUGUAAGCGCAGCGAUGCGUUGAGCUAACCGGUACUAAUGAACCGUGAGGCUUAACCUUACAACGCCGAAG
rnacentral:rRNA from 1 species